GACGAACGCUGGCGGCGUGCUUAACACAUGCAAGUCGAGCGGUAAGGCCCUUUCGGGGGUACACGAGCGGCGAACGGGUGAGUAACACGUGGGUGACCUGCCCUCAGCUCUGGGAUAAGCCUGGGAAACUGGGUCUAAUACUGGAUAUGACUCCACGGUGCAUGUCGUGGGGUGGAAAGCCUUGUGCGGCUGAGGAUGGGCCCGCGGCCUAUCAGCUUGUUGGUGGGGUGANGGCCUACCAAGGCGACGACAGGUAGCCGGCCUGAGAGGGCGACCGGCCACACUGGGACUGAGACACGGCCCAGACUCCUACGGGAGGCAGCAGUGGGGAAUCUUGCGCAAUGGGCGAAAGCCUGACGCAGCGACGCCGCGUGAGGGAUGACGGCCU
rnacentral:rRNA from 1 species